UUUUGCCCCAGAUAGUAGUGGAAAGCUUUGCAGUUUUGAAAUUUAAUUUUUCUUGAGAUAGCAGAGCGACCGGAGGAAGCUGCUGCUAGUUGAUUAGAAAAAAGAUUUCAAUACAAGAACUUGCAACGGAUAGCUGGAUAAGGC
rnacentral:sRNA from 1 species